rnacentral:rRNA from 1 species
UACGGAGGAUGCAAGCGUUAUCCGGAAUGAUUGGGCGUAAAGCGUCCGCAGGUGGCUGUGUAAGUCUGCUGUUAAAGAGUGAGGCUCAACCUCAUAAAGGCAGUGGAAACUACAUGGCUAGAGUGCGUUCGGGGCAGAGGGAAUUCCUGGUGUAGCGGUGAAAUGCGUAGAGAUCGGGAAGAACAUCGGUGGCGAAAGCGCUCUGCUGGACUGCAACUGACACUCAGGGACGAAAGCUAGGGGAGCGAAUGGG